UAGGGAAUCUUCGGCAAUGGGGGGAACCCUGACCGAGCAACGCCGCGUGAGUGAAGAAGGUUUUCGGAUCGUAAAGCUCUGUUGUUAAGGAAGAACGAGUGUGAGAAUGGAAAGUUCAUGCUGUGACGGUACUUAACCAGAAAGGGACGGCUAACUACGUGCCAGCAGCCGCGGUAAUACGUAGGUCCCGAGCGUUGUCCGGAUUUAUUGGGCGUAAAGCGAGCGCAGGCGGUUAGAAAAGUCUGAAGUGAAAGGCAGUGGCUCAACCAUUGUAGGCUUUGGAAACUGUUUAACUUGAGUGCAGAAGGGGAGGGUGGAAUUCCAUGUGUAGCGGUGAAAUGCGUAGAUAUAUGGAGGAACACCGGUGGCGAAAGCGGCUCUCUGGUCUGUAACUGACGCUGAGGCUCGAAAGCGUGGGGAGCGAACAGG
rnacentral:rRNA from 2 species